GAUCUCCACCUUAUGGGCUCAUGCACACAAACGUAUUUUCUUUCUGCUUCCGUUCCAUUUUUUUUGCGGACCGUAUGCGGAAUCAUUCACUUCAAUGGGUCUGCAAAAACAAUGGAAGUUACUCAAUGUGCAUUCCAAUUCCGUAU